rnacentral:lncRNA from 1 species
GGAGAUGAGCCUGCAGGCGGGGGGCUGUGCGAGUGCGCGGGGACGGGGGCUGCUGUUUCCGAGCCGAGAGCCCUGGUAGCGGGGCUCUGUGGGCGGAGACGCCCUCCCGAGCCUGGGCAUCUUCGGAGUGGGACUCUCGGGUCGGAGUUCCGCCGCCGGCCCAUCCAGUUUCAGCGGGUCGCCUUUGCCUCUGGGCCGGGUGGGGAGCCUCCCAUUCCAGAGACCCCCCGACUCCCUGCCCCUCGCGGCGUAGGGGCGCCCUUUCUGCGGCGCCGCGGGGCCGUCCUCUCCCCUCCCCGGGCGGCUGCAGCAGGGGCGCGGGAGCCCGCGGACUGCGGGGUUGCGGUCGCCCCUGCUUUGUGAGUUCCCGCAGCUGGGAGGAAGAAGGAGAGGAGGGAGGAGGGAGAGGUGGGGAAGGGGACGCCGCGGGAGACUGGGAAGUGGCUGCCGCAGGGAGGAGCUAGGCCUCGAGUGAAGCCUGCUUGUAAGAAGGGCCAGGAGAGUCGGGUGCGCCCCCGCCCUCCCUGCCCCACCCCAAGAUGGGGACCCAGAGCCCCUCCUCCCGCACUGGGCCUUCUUUCUGGGUAGUGGAGGGCUGGACUGGACUGAGCUGGGAAGGCCUGCAGCUCAGAGGCGCUGCUCUGUGCGUCAGGACCGGCUUGCAAAUGAAGAUGUUGAGGGGCUGGCUCUGGGCUCAUAGCAGAAACUGCCAGAUCUAGCGGCCACCCCUCAGUCCUCAUCUGCGCCGGCCCUCCCAGCUUUCGACCCGGCCUCACUGUCUCCUGAUUGAAUCACUCCGGGCACCACAGUUCCCUGGUUCCUCCUUACAGCUCCGGGCCAGCCCCUCUGAACUUUUUCUGGGCGAUUCUCUCUGACCUCUUAAGUCCGCAACGCUUGGAACAGGACCCACAUCUCUUUCCAUUCUGACACUCUCUGAGGGAGCGCAGCGUCCUUCAUGUGGGGCUUGUGACCAUCCUCCCCCCAGCCCCAGGGCAGCUGACUACCAGGCCCUGUUUCCAGACGUCUCUUCAGAGGUCAAGCCUUGGUAGCCAGUGGCCUGGACAUCUGCCCCCGGGUGUCUCGGAGGCCCUCAGGGAAACCUUGUUCUGCUUCUCAGAGAUGGCGCCACGGUUCGCUUGGCCUGUGGAAACGUGUGUGUCAUGGGACCUGGUGUGUGGGUCAGAGGAAGGACUGGGAGGAGGAGGAAGGUGUCCACAUGCGAUUUUUUUUUUUGAGACAGAGUCUCGCUCUAUCGCCCGGGCUGGAGUGCAGUGGCUAGAUCUCAGCUCACUGCAAUCUCUGCCUCCCAGGUUCAAGCGAUUCUCGUGCCUUAGCCUCCCAAGUAGCUGGGAUUACAGGUGCCUGCCACUACACCCAGCUAAUUUUGGUAUAUUUAGUAGAGACAGGGUUUCACCAUGUUGGUCAGGCUGCUCUUGAACUCCUGACCUCAAAUAAUCCACCCACCUCGGCCUCCCAAAGUCCUGGGAUUACAGCCGUGAGCCAUCGAGCCCGACCUUCACACGCAAUUCUUUAGCCUCAAUGUGGCCUUGUCUUAUCUUCAGGUUUCUGACUAUUGGAGCUCAUAUGGCAGCAAGCUCUGAGGGCUACUUUUGUGUUGGGCCAAAAAAAGCCAACCUCACUGUGAAGAAACGUCUCUCUCUCUCUUUCUCUGUGUGUGUGUGUGUGUGUGUUUGUGUGUGUAUAGACAAAACCCUAGUGCUGUUGGGAACGGGGUGAGGAGGCAGGCUUGGGGCCAGUUGGAUGGGGAAGGCUUGCUUAGAAAACUAGACUAUUUGGGUGUCCUCCAUACUGUAUUUCCUCUGAUGAUUUUCCUGUAAGAACUGAGCUGAGCUCCUUUGAAAGGGAUAGCAGUAUUCCUUGGGAGCCAGCUUUGGUGGGGGCAACUGGUGGAGCCUCCACCCUAGCUUCUUGGGGGCUCUGGGCUUUGAAAGGGAGGCUGUAAUAUGGCCUUGCGGCCCCUGCCAGUGGCAUCCCGGCCGGACCCAUCUUUGACUGAGGCUGAGCCCCAGGCCCGCUGGCAGCUCCCAGCCGUCCUCCCCACAGCCUGGCUGUGGCUGUUCCUCGGCCUGCCAGCCCCACAAUCACAGCCCACAGGACGCACCCCCACUCCCUCCCUGAUUUCCUGGAAUUCAGAAAAUGGAUCACCCCUGCCUCGUCCUAGUUUUCCACCCCAGAGACCUGCCAUACCCUUGGUCAAGUCCUCAUGCAAACCAGAUUCCUUUCAUUCAAGGACUUUCAGAGGGAGCGUUACCCGGUCCUCAGCCACACCCAUGCCGCCCUGUCUGCCCUGUCUGGACUGCCUAGACUCCAUCAGAACUCCACAGCCACUUUCUCUGGAAAGCCUUCCUGGCUGCUCUUGCCAGGUGUUCUCUCUUCACUGGCCUCUCAAAGCCAGGUCUUGACUUGUCCUAGGGCCUCAUCCCAUACCAUGUUUUAUUGUCAUAAUAUUCUUUCCCAUAGUGACCCCAGUGCUCAGCACUGAGCCUGGCACAAAGUGCAUGCUAAGGACAAGCUUGCUGCACGGAGAAAUGAAUGGGGACUUCAGAUAUACAUACACAC